rnacentral:rRNA from 1 species
GACAUACUAAGAACUUUCCAGAGAUGGAUUGGUGCCUUCGGGAACUUAGAUACAGGUGCUGCAUGGCUGUCGUCAGCUCGUGUCGUGAGAUGUUGGGUUAAGUCCCGCAACGAGCGCAACCCUUUUCCUUAUUUGCCAGCGGGUCAUGCCGGGAACUUUAAGGAUACUGCCAGUGACAAACUGGAGGAAGGCGGGGACGACGUCAAGUCAUCAUGGCCCUUACGGCCAGGGCUACACACGUGCUACAAUGGUCGGUACAAAGGGUUGCUACCUCGCGAGAGGAUGCUAAUCUCAAAAAGCCGAUCGUAGUCCGGAUCGCAGUCUGCAACUCGACUGCGUGAAGUCGGAAUCGCUAGUAAUCGCGGAUCAGAAUGCCGCGGUGAAUACGUUCCCGGGCCUUGUACACACCGCCCGUCACACCAUGGGAGUUUGUUGCACCAGAAGUAGGUAGUCUAACCGCAAGGAGGACGCUUACCACGGUGUGGCCGAUGACUGGGGUGAAGUCGUAACAAGGUAGGCGUAGAUGA